rnacentral:rRNA from 1 species
CUCAAAUUUGAAAUCUGGCACCUUCGGUGUCCGAGUUGUAAUUUGAAGAAGGUAACUUUGGAGUUGGCUCUUGUCUAUGUUCCUUGGAACAGGACGUCACAGAGGGUGAGAAUCCCGUGCGAUGAGAUGUCCAACUCUAUGUAAAGUGCUUUCGAAGAGUCGAGUUGUUUGGGAAUGCAGCUCUAAGUGGGUGGUAAAUUCCAUCUAAAGCUAAAUAUUGGCGAGAGACCGAUAGCGAACAAGUACAGUGAUGGAAAGAUGAAAAGAACUUUGAAAAGAGAGUGAAAAAGUACGUGAAAUUGUUGAAAGGGAAGGGUUUGAGAUCAGACUUGGUAUUUUGUAUGUCUUGCUUUCGGGUGGGGCCUCUGCAGUUUACUGGGCCAGCAUCGGUUUGGACGGUAGGAUAAUGACAUUGGAAUGUGGCACUACUUCGGUGGUGUGUUAUAGACUUUGUUGAUACUGCCUGUC